rnacentral:rRNA from 1 species
AGUCGUAACAAGGUCUCCGUUGGUGAACCAGCGGAGGGAUCAUUACCGAGUUUACAACUCCCAAACCCCUGUGAACAUACCACUUGUUGCCUCGGCGGAUCAGCCCGCUCCCGGUAAAACGGGACGGCCCGCCAGAGGACCCCUAAACUCUGUUUCUAUAUGUAACUUCUGAGUAAAACCAUAAAUAAAUCAAAACUUUCAACAACGGAUCUCUUGGUUCUGGCAUCGAUGAAGAACGCAGCAAAAUGCGAUAAGUAAUGUGAAUUGCAGAAUUCAGUGAAUCAUCGAAUCUUUGAACGCACAUUGCGCCCGCCAGUAUUCUGGCGGGCAUGCCUGUUCGAGCGUCAUUUCAACCCUCAAGCACAGCUUGGUGUUGGGACUCGCGUUAAUUCGCGUUCCCCAAAUUGAUUGGCAGUCACGUCGAGCUUCCAUAGCGUAGUAGUAAAACCCUCGUUACUGGUAAUCGUCGCGGCCACGCCGUUAAACCCCAACUUCUGAAUGUUGACCUCGGAUCAGGUAGGAAUACCCGCUGAACUUAAGCAUAUCAAUAAGUCG